AGAGGGUCCUCCGCGGAAGGGCAGCUGAAUGGACUCCAAAGCAGCCUUAACCCUGCAGCCUUUGUGCCCAUCACCAGCUCUACAGAAUGUUGCCAGAAGAUACUACCAGGGGUGCCCAGAUCAGUUGGAAAGGCCUUAGGGACAAAUCUUUAAGAGAUCCUGCUCACACUAAAAUAUGAACCACAGACACACAGAGAAGCAACCUGUUCACCACUCCUGGGUGCGUGAUUGAGGGUGAAGCAUCCACCAGCACUUCAAGGGGUCCAUAGUAUUUUUUUUUGCUGCCUCAGAGUCCCCAGAGCCUUCGAGUAGAAGUGGCAGUAGCUGGUUGCCAGUCAGCCAAUGCAGACUUUCACUGGGACAACAGGAAAGCAGAUCUUCUGGGUUUUGAUGGAACUUGGCAGUGGGGACGUUCAGCUGAUGCAUUAUAUACCCCGUCAGAGCACACUUGUGUCUUUUACCUUCCCUUUGCCCCAUGCCCCCAAACUGCUUAGGUCUUCUCUGUCCCUUUACUGCUGCUGCACAGAGAUGAUAUAAAAGAGGCUCUUUGGCUA
rnacentral:sRNA from 1 species